CCUAUGGGUGGCAGCAGUGGGGAAUAUUGGACAAUGGGCGAAAGCCUGAUCCAGCCAUGCCGCGUGUGUGAAGAAGGCCUUCGGGUUGUAAAGCACUUUCAGUGGGGAAGAAAGCCUUGGGGCUAAUACCCUCGAGGAAGGACAUCACCCACAGAAGAAGCACCGGCUAACUCCGUGCCAGCAGCCGCGGUAAUACGGAGGGUGCGAGCGUUAAUCGGAAUUACUGGGCGUAAAGCGCGCGUAGGCGGUCUGAUAAGCCGGUUGUGAAAGCCCCGGGCUCAACCUGGGAACGGCAUCCGGAACUGUCAGGCUAGAGUGCAGGAGAGGAAGGUAGAAUUCCCGGUGUAGCGGUGAAAUGCGUAGAGAUCGGGAGGAAUACCAGUGGCGAAGGCGGCCUUCUGGACUGACACUGACGCUGAGGUGCGAAAGCGUGGGUAGCAAACAGGAUUAGAUACCCGUGUAGUC
rnacentral:rRNA from 1 species